rnacentral:rRNA from 1 species
UACGGAGGGAGCUAGCGUUGUUCGGAAUUACUGGGCGUAAAGCGCACGUAGGCGGCUUUGUAAGUUAGAGGUGAAAGCCCGGAGCUCAACUCCGGAAUUGCCUUUAAGACUGCAUCGCUUGAAUCCAGGAGAGGUGAGUGGAAUUCCUAGUGUAGCGGUGGAAUGCGUAGAUAUUAGGAAGAACACCAGUGGCGAAGGCGACUUUCUGGACGGUUCCUGACGCUGAGGCGCGAAAGCUAGGGGAGCAAACAGG